AUUGAACGCUGGCGGCAGGCCUAACACAUGCAAGUCGAACGAGUGGCGGACGGGUGAGUAAUGUCUGGGAAACUGCCUGAUGGAGGGGGAUAACUACUGGAAACGGUAGCUAAUACCGCAUACUAUGGGAGUGGCCGAAAUGGGAUGAGCUAGUGGGUGGGGUAACGGCUCACCAAGGCGACGAUCCUUAGCUGGUCUGAGAGGAUGACCAGCCACACUGGAACUGAGACACGGUCCAGACUCCUACGGGAGGCAGCAGUGGGGAAUAUUGCACAAUGGGCGCAAGCCUGAUGCAGCCAUGCCGCGUGUAUGAAGAAGGCCUUCGGGUUGUAAAGUACUUUCAGCGGGGAGGCGUUACCCGCAGAAGAAGCACCGGCUAACUCCGUGCCAGCAGCCGCGGUAAUAC
rnacentral:rRNA from 1 species